UGUAACAAACCACCUCUUUUACAGGUAGGAUUGUCACAGAUCUUGCAGUAACCACAGCCUUCUAGGGUAUACAAAGUCCAGGACACAGUCAGCUCAAUUUUCCUUUUUAUUCGGCAAGAAAACAGGUUCUUUAAAUAAUAACAAAACAAACAAAAUCCCUUGCUCUUACUUGAGCUCUUACUAGACAGUAAUUGCUAUCUGCAAUUGGGUGGCUUUCCCACUUACCAAUUUUCCAAACAAAAGAAAUGUCUUUG